rnacentral:rRNA from 1 species
CAAGCAGCGGAGUCGUGUGGUUUAAUUCGUUGCUACACGAAGAACCUUACCUGGGUUUGACAUAUAGGUUGUAGGGAACUGAAAAGGACGACCCUUCGGGGAGCCUAUACAGGUGUUGCAUGGCUGUCGUCAGCUCGUGUCGUGAGAUGUUCGGUUAAGUCCGCUAACGAGCGCAACCCUCGUCGUAUGUUAUAUGUGUCAUACGAGACUGCCGGUAAAAGCCGGAGGAAGGUGAGGAUGAUGUCAAGUCAGCAUGACCUUUAUAUCCAGGGCUACACACACGCUACAAUGGUCUGUACAAUGGGUAGCCAAGCCGCGAGGCGGAGCCAAUCCUGAAAGCAGGCCUCAGUUCAGAUUGCAGUCUGCAACUCGACUGCAUGAAGCCGGAGUUGCUAGUAACCGCAGGUCAGCAAUACUGCGGUGAAUACGUUCCCGGGUCUU